GGGGCUGUAGCUCAGCUGGCUAGAGCGUCUGCAUGGCAUGCAGAAGGUCAGGGGUUCAAGUCCCCUCAGCUCCACCA
rnacentral:tRNA from 1 species